rnacentral:rRNA from 1 species
UACGAAGGGGGCUAGCGUUGCUCGGAAUCACUUGGCGUAAAGGGUGCGUAGGCGGGUCUUUACGUCAGGGGUGAAAUCCUGGAGCUCAACUCCAGAACUGCCUUUGAUACUGAAGAUCUUGAGUUCGGGAGAGGUGAGUGGAACUGCGAGUGUAGAGGUGAAAUUCGUAGAUAUUCGCAAGAACACCAGUGGCGAAGGCGGCUCACUGGCCCGAUACUGACGCUGAGGCACGAAAGCGUGGGGAGCAAACAGG